UACCAGCACCCCGAGUGGUCGGGACGAUUAUUGGGCCUAAAGCCUCCGUAGCCGGUCAUGCAAGUCCUCCGUUAAAUCCACCUGCUUAACAGAUGGGCUGCGGAGGAUACUACAAGGCUAGGAGGCAGAAGAGGCAAGCGGUACUCAGUGGGUAGGGGUAAAAUCCUCUGAUCCAUUGAAGACCACCAGUGGCGAAGGCGGCUUGCCAAUACGCGCUCGACGGUGAGGGAUGAAAGCUGGGGGAGCAAACCGG
rnacentral:rRNA from 1 species